GAUAAACGCUGGCGGCGUGCAUGAGACAUGCAAGUCGAACGAAGGAUCGGGCUUGCUCGAUCCUUAGUGGCGGACGGCUGAGUAACGCGUAGGUGACCUACCACGAAGUGGGGAAUAACUGCCCGAAAGGGUGGCUAAUACCGCAUGUGGUCGCACGUUCAUUCGUGCGAGUAAAGCCGCAAGGCGCUUCGGGAGGGGCCUGCGUCCGAUUAGCCCGUUGGUGGGGUAAUGGCUUACCAAGGCGACGAUCGGUAGGUGGUCUGAGAGGACGAUCACCCAGACUGGGACUGAGACACGGCCCAGACUCCUACGGGAGGCAGCAGUCGGGAAUUUUGCUCAAUGGGGGAAACCCUGAAGCAGCAACGCCGCGUAAGGGAUGAAGGCCUUCGGGUUGUAAACCUCUUUUGUCAGGGACGAUGAUGACGGUACCUGGCGAAUAAGCCACGGCUAACUACGUG
rnacentral:rRNA from 1 species